rnacentral:rRNA from 1 species
AAUGAACGCUGGCGGCAGGCCUAACACAUGCAAGUCGAGCGGAGCGGCGGACGGGUGAGUAAUGACUAGGAAUCUGCCUGGUAGAGGGGGAUAACGUCCGGAAACGGGAGCUAAUACCGCAUACUAUCAGAUGAGACUAGGUCGGAGUAGCUAGUUGGUGGGGUAAAGGCCUACCAAGGCGACGAUCCGUAACUGGCCUGAGAGGACGAUCAGUCAAACUGGAACUGAGACACGGUCCAGACUCCUACGGGAGGCAGCAGUGGGGAAUAUUGGACAAUGGGCGAAAGCCUGAUCCAGCCAUGCCGCGUGUGUGAAGAAGGUCUUCGGAUUGUAAAGCACUUUAAGUUGGGAGGCGGUACCAACAGAAUAAGCACCGGCUAACUUCGUGCCAGCCGCCGCGGUAAUAC